rnacentral:lncRNA from 1 species
AAGGCUAGUUAGGGGUAAUUGGUAUUUGGUUAUCUUUACUGGUCCCUCUUCUAUUUCCAGGCUAUCUUGGAUUCCUGAUAGAUGGCAUACCAUUUACGAACUGUUUGUCUCUGGGCUAUACCUUCAGGGGGUGGUGUUCCUCGUUUCACAGCAUCUAAAAUGUGGAAGGGCCCYCUUARGAYUACUUUCUGUURGGUCGCUAUUUUUUCGGUGGCCUUCACAGCCCUUACCAUGGCUAAGAUUCCCUUCUCCCAUUCACUAUAUCUUUGUUCUGCCUCCUUGGGGGGGGGGAAUGUCCUCUCCUCGGGGCAUAUGAGGCAGCAGCCUGUCUAAUGCGCUUUUCCCGUGGUUUGGUCUCCAUCCCCAUCUCUUGCGCWGUUCGAUGCACUUCUAACAAGGUAUCUGCCCAUGUCGGUAUUGGCAUGGGGGGGGGGCACUGAGGUUAUUAUGACUGUGUGCCUCUGCAGCUACAAUGCGAUCCCGUAUUGCUUGUAGCUUCAGCUUUAACACUGUAGGCAAUCCCCAUAUUAAAGGCGUUAGGCUGUUUGGGCUUACCGGGGCUUGCAAGGGGACGUCAUAGGCUCCCCUCUCAUAUAUCUGCUGUACACGAGCUGCCUUUUGUGUGGCUUCUGUAAGCUCACUAUGGGUAUUUAUACUUAUUCUCAAAGGUUCUCCUCUGUUCCUCGGGUCUUGUCCCCCUGCCCAAUAGGCUACUCGGGAGGUGAGGGAGCGAUUCCCAACUCUACCCGUCAGGAAAACUCCUGGUCCUCAAUAUCCUGAUGCCUCCUCUUCACUUAGUAUUAUGYGAUCACCUCCUGUUAAGGAUACCCGCCACAAAUACUCAGUUUCCGUUUCUGUAGGUUGCCUGCAGUAUUUCUCUUGCAGUUUUCCCAUCUCGUCUCCUGAGUAAGGGGUAGUUCUAACUGUGGUUCUAGCGUUACCCCCAUGGGGUCCUGUUGCAGUUUCGGUUUUUACAACCGGCCGCACAUCCAGAGGUGAGGGUUCUGGAGGGUACAAAUCACCAUCGUCCUCUGAACUACUGCUGUUUCCCCAUAUAUCUCCGUCCCAAUUGUCCAGGUCCUCCACCAACAUUUUUCUAAUCUGAGCUGCUGUGGGGGGCUUCCUUGCUGUUGAAAGGAUGAGUUCUAACUUGUUUUGUAAUUUCUGAUUUCGCUCUUUCUCUAAUUUCAAUUCUCUUUCAAGAUCUACACACUGCUGCACCUUUUCUUGUAACUGUUCCUUAGUUUUUCGAUGGGUCCGAUUGGCUUGUUGGGCCG